AUACGUAGGGGGCGAGCGUUGUCCGGAUUUAUUGGGCGUAAAGGGUGCGUAGGCGGCCUUGUAAGUCAGAUGUGAAAGAUCAUGGCUUAACUGUGGUAAGCAUUUGAAACUGCAGGGCUUGAGUACAGGAGAGGAGAGUGGAAUUCCUAGUGUAGCGGUGAAAUGCGUAGAUAUUAGGAGGAAUACCAGUGGCGAAGGCGACUCUCUGGACGGAUACUGACGCUGAGGCACGAAAGCGUGAGGAGCAAACAGGAUUAGAUACCCUGGUAGUCCACGCCGUAAACGAUGAGCACUAAGUGUCGGAUGAAUUUUCGGCGCUGCAGUUAACACAAUAAGUGCUCCGCCUGGGGAGUACGGUCGCAAGACUGAAACUCAAAGGAAUUGGCGGGG
rnacentral:rRNA from 1 species